AUCACUAUCAACACACACAUAUAUAUAUUAAUAUUUUUUCUUUUACUUUUAUUGAAGACUGAAUGGUUGAAGAAAAGAGUCAUACGACGUAACCAACUUAAAGCAAUUCAAGAGACCAUAGCCGAAUUUCUAAAUGACCAGGUCAUCGACCCAAACGAUGAGUUCUACAAUGAUCCGAACGAAAUAUGGAAGCCAAAUCAGGAGUGAAUUGUUAUACCAAGGAUAUGAAUUUAUAUGUAUAUGCAAACCUAUGUAUACAUACUAUAUGUAUACAUAAAAUAACGUGUGAUCAUAUGUACGUAUAAUCGUUUGUUAUUUAUAAAUAUGUUGUACAAUGUUCGAACAAUAACUUAAUUACUGGUGCGACAUAUCUAUUAGUAUUAGCAGCGUAUUUGAAUUCUAUUAUAAUAUCAAAACUAAUCAUCAAUUGAAAAAAAAGAAAAGAAAAACAAAAAAUAAAAAAGGGAUCUUUAUUCUCGCUUGCUACUACCAUCUGGGACUAAAUGUCCUGCCCCGUGAACAGACCUGGAGGGCCCUUGUAGUCUCGAUUGGUAUUAACAACCGGGACUAAAGGUCCACUGAAAGGUCCAAAUGGCUAGAGGGGGGGUGAAUAGCCUAUUUAAAAUUUCUACAAACUUCACUAAGCAAGUUGAAAGAGCAUCUAGGCCCCUAGUGAUUUCGGUGAUUAAUGACAAUGUUGAUUACUAUGACUAACGUGUGUUUUGCAGAGGCAAAGUCAUAGGUAAGGUCAUGGUAAUAGGUACUCGAUGGACAGGGACGUACAUGCCUACUUAAUAGUGGAAAUCGUUUUGGUUUUCAAAGGAUGGAUGGACAUCGUCAAGACUAGACUAGGUCUAAGUGCCAUAUGGUGAAGAAGGGCACUUAGAGUAGUUUAGGACUUUGUUUUCCUUUGAUCGUACUAUUAAGAGGGGCUUUGAUCUAGUAGCUUGACUUAGGCAAGGCUUUAGAUUUAGGUGUGGUGCACACUUGGUAAACCUAGCACUAGACAGAUCAGAGAUAGUCCUUAGGUCGAGAGGAACCAACUUCGUUUUGGAGCGAUCGUGUUUCGACGAAGGUAGGGUGCCUAAGGGGGCACCGGACGCUGCACCGGACGCUAUGUGAGUGCGUCCGGUGAGGUCCUUAGCCGUUGGAAUAGUGUGGUGCUUAGGGUUAAGCACCGGACGCUGGCACCGGACUCAUCGGAUAGCGUCCGGUCCCAUACCCAGGGAGAUUGUAAACC
rnacentral:lncRNA from 1 species